rnacentral:rRNA from 1 species
ACGCUGGCGGCACGCCUAACACAUGCAAGUCGAACGAAGUAGCAAUACUUAGUGGCAGACGGGUGAGUAACAUGUAGGUAUCUGCCCUUUGGCCUGGAAUAACACGAGGAAACUUGUGCUAAUACCGGAUAAGUCUUUACGGAGAAAGCUUUAUGCACCAUUGGAUGAGCCUGCACUUGAUUAGUUUGUUGGUGGGGUAAUGGCCUACCAAGACUGUGAUCAAUAGCUGAUUUGAGAGGAUGAUCAGCCACAUUGGGACUGAGACACGGCCCAAACUCCUACGGGAGGCAGCAGUGGGGAAUCUUGCACAAUGGAGGAAACUCUGAUGCAGCGAUGCCGCGUGAGUGAAGAAGGCCUUUGGGUUGUAAAGCUCUUUCGUCGGGGAAGAAAAUGACUGUACCCGAAUAAGAAGGUCCGGCUAACUUCGUGCCAGCAGCCGCGGUAAUACGAAGGGACCUAGCGUAGUUCGGAAUUACUGGGCUUAAAGAGUUCGUAGGUGGUUGAAAAAGUUGGUGGUGAAAUCCCAGAGCUUAACUCUGGAACUGCCAUCAAAACUUUUCAGCUAGAGUGUGAUAGAGGAAAGCAGAAUUUCUAGUGUAGAGGUGAAAUUCGUAGAUAUUAGAAAGAAUACCAAUUGCGAAGGCAGCUUUCUGGAUCACAACUGACGCUGAGGAACGAAAGCAUGGGUAGCGAAGAGGAUUAGAUACCCUCGUAGUCCAUGCCGUAAACGAUGUGUGUUAGACGUUGGAAAUUUAUUUUCAGUGUCGCAGCGAAAGCGAUAAACACACCGCCUGGGGAGUACGACCGCAA